AACGAGCGUUGGCGGCGUGGAUUAGGCAUGCAAGUCGAACGCGAAUCCCUGGGCAACUGGGGAGGAGAGUGGCGAAAGGGGCAGUAAGGCGUGGGUAACCUACCCUCCGGGCCGGGAUAGCUUCGGGAAACUGAAGGUAAUACCGGGCGACGCAGCGAGAUCGCAUGGUCUUGCUGCCAAAGGUCCGCCGCCGGGGGAGGGGCUCACGUGGUAUUAGCUAGACGGCGGGGUAACGGCCCACCGUGGCAAAGAUGCCUAGCAGGUGUGAGAGCACGACCUGCGCCACUGGCACUGAGACACUGGCCAGACACCUACGGGUGGCUGCAGUCGAGGAUCUUCGGCAAUGGGCGCAAGCCUGACCGAGCGACGCCGCGUGUGCGAUGAAGGCCUUCGGGUUGUAAAGCACUGUCGAGGGGGAGGAAGCCGCAAGGUUGACCUAUCCCUGGAGGAAGCACGGGCUAAGUUCGUG
rnacentral:rRNA from 1 species